CCUGUACCGGGUUCAAUUCCAGCUCCGGCCUCCCUGUGUGGACUUUGCAUGUUCUCCCCGGGCCUGCGUGGGUUUUCUCCGGGUGCUCCGGUUUCCUCCCACGUUCCAAAAACAUGCAUGGCAGGCUGAUUGGACGCUCUAAAUUGUCCCUAGGUGUGAGUGUGAGCGUGGAUGGUUGUUCGUCUCUGUGUGCCCUGUGAUUGGCUGGCAACCGAUUCAGGGUGUCCCCCGCCUACUGCCCGAAGACGGCUGGGAUAGGCUCCAGCACCCCUCGCGACCCUAUUGAGGAUCAAGCGGUUCGAAAAUGGAUUUUCUUUGAUGACUUGCGGAAACGCUCCACGACGCAGUUCCGCCUUGUUCCGACCGGCGUCGAGCAAAACCUGCAACGUUUGCUCCGUAGACCUCCCAGCCUAAAGCGCCGCAUCCGGUUUUUAUUCCUCCGGAGCAAUACCGCGACACGUCGACGCUAUUACCGUCGGAUUAAUGUCAAAUCAGCCACGGGGUCCAUCUUGCCCUGAAGCUCCACGUAGGCAGUAGAACGGCGUUUUUGUUCCAGCGGAUGAUUGACGCUGUGAAAUGGAUCCAGGCUAUUUAUUUUUUAUUUUUUCUCUUCACCCGUCACGUAUUUUUAUUGAGCCGGACAAAUUCUGGCAAUCAGACCGUCGCCAUUGUAUCGCUGUCGGAAUGAACUGAGCGCGUGAAGAGACACGUCGUCAUUACGCGGCGGCCGUGUGUUUCCCCCUUUUCCCGUCUCCUUCGCAGUCGGCGGGCCUCCCUGUCGUCUACCUGAGUGACAAAAGAUGCUCGGAAUGAGUCAUCAGAUGUUUUUUGGGGGGGGCGGUAGGAGGCUUAGCUGCUGCCAAAACUGACUGCUGUCAUAACCAGAGGAUGUUCUCAACACUUGUGCGAUUUGCGCUUUAUCCGUUUGGAGUUCCUGCUAGCAUGUCGCGUACGCCCGUAUUCCGGAAGAUGGGGGCGUGACCUUGGAUGACAUUGCCGUCCGUCCCACGCAGCUCGGGUCAGAGCACAGUGACACUUUACUCAGCACUUCAUUCCGGAUGCCUUCCAAAUGCGGAGGCGUUUAGCCGCCAUUGUACCACACGCUUAGCGCACCGCUUCACAGGGCCCCGCUAUACCCUCUCGGAAUCCGGAUUCCGUUGCCGAGCGAGCGCGGCAGUCGCUCUGCGGGGUUAUUGUUCGGUUCGCCGGAGCCCCGCGACAAAUUGAUUCCGCGCAGAGUCCGAUGAAAGUUUUCAAUGUGCCUUUUGUGGCGCUCGCUAGCAAAAUGUCGACGCAGCGAGCGGGUAAUCCCGUGGGUUUUUCGCACCGGAAUGGCUUCCCCGACUGCGUAGCACCGUCUGGUAGACCCGCUGAGCGUGAGAUGAAACACACAGUCUGGCCGCGGUAUUAUUAUUAUUCCCAUCGUGGUGUCGUUUGUCCGUUUUUUUUGUACUUUGGUGUCACACGUUCUGCACUUUUUAGUCUCUAAAGGCCCGGAAUGAGAUGCCUUCUUGUUUUUGUGUGAGUCAUACAUGAGUGGGCGUCAAUCAGGGAGCCAAAUAGAUCCGUCACCUUCCCCAACCAC